AUGUCUUCUAAAGCUAAAUACCGGCCAGAGACCGAUAGCGCACAAGUAGAGUGAUCGAAAGAUGAAAAGCACUUUGAAAAGAGAGUUAAAAAGUACGUGAAAUUGUUGAAAGGGAAGCGUUUAUGACCAGACUUGGGCUUGGUUAAUCAUCUGGGGUUCUCCCCAGUGCACUUUUCCAGUCCAGGCCAGCAUCAGUUUUCGCCGGGGGAUAAAGGCUUCGGGAAUGUGGCUCUCUCCGGGGAGUGUUAUAGCCCGUUGCGUAAUACCCUGGCGGGGACUGAGGUUCGCGCAUCUGCAAGGAUGCUGGCGUAA
rnacentral:rRNA from 2 species